CCUACGGGUGGCAGCAGUGGGGAAUAUUGCACAAUGGGGGAAACCCUGAUGCAGCGACGCCGCGUGAGUGAAGAAGUAUUUCGGUAUGUAAAGCCCUAUCAGCAGGGAAGAAAAUGACGGUACCUGAUUAAGAAGCCCCGGCUAACUACGUGCCAGCAGCCGCGGUAAUACGUAGGGGGCAAGCGUUAUCCGGAUUUACUGGGUGUAAGGGGAGCGUAGACGGCAGACGAAGUCUGGAGGGAAAUGCCGGGGCUUAACCCCGGAACUGCUUUGGAAACUGUGCAGCUAGAGUGCAGGAGAGGUAAGUGGAAUGCCUGGUGUAGCGGUGAAAUGCGUAGAUAUUAGGAGGAACACCAGUGGCGAAGGCGGCUUACUGGACUGUAACUGACGUUGAGGCUCGAAAGCGUGGGGAGCAAACAGGAUUAGAUACCCCGGUAGUC
rnacentral:rRNA from 1 species